UGGGGAAUAUUGCACAAUGGGCGCAAGCCUGAUGCAGCAACGCCGCGUGAGGGACGACGGCCUUCGGGUUGUAAACCUCUUUUAGCAGGGAAGAAGCGAAAGUGACGGUACCUGCAGAAAAAGCACCGGCUAACUACGUGCCAGCAGCCGCGGUAAUACGUAGGGUGCAAGCGUUAUCCGGAAUUAUUGGGCGUAAAGAGCUCGUAGGCGGUUUGUCGCGUCUGCUGUGAAAACUGGAGGCUCAACCUCCAGCCUGCAGUGGGUACGGGCAGACUAGAGUGCGGUAGGGGAGAUUGGAAUUCCUGGUGUAGCGGUGGAAUGCGCAGAUAUCAGGAGGAACCCCGAUGGCGAAGGCAGAUCUCUGGGCCGUAACUGACGCUGAGGAGCGAAAGGGUGGGGAGCAAACAGG
rnacentral:rRNA from 1 species